UGAGGAAUAUUGGACAAUGGGCGCAAGCCUGAUCCAGCCAUGCCGCGUGCAGGAUGACGGUCCUAUGGAUUGUAAACUGCUUUUGCACAGGAAGAAACAACAUUACGUGUAAUGUCUUGACGGUACUGUGAGAAUAAGGAUCGGCUAACUCCGUGCCAGCAGCCGCGGUAAUACGGAGGAUCCAAGCGUUAUCCGGAAUCAUUGGGUUUAAAGGGUCCGUAGGCGGUCUUAUAAGUCAGUGGUGAAAUC
rnacentral:rRNA from 1 species